CUUUAAGGCAGUGGAAGUUAAGCUUGAUUUGGGUGGGGGCACAUUGGGAGCCACUUUGGUGCACAGUGGAUUUUGUUAAGAAUUGAGUGAUGGAGGGCACCCAAGACCAGUUUAAUGUCACUAGCUCCAUCUUCCGGCUUCAUUUGGGAGCCGACUUCAUUGCUAGGGGUGAAGGAUGACAUCAGAGUGAGUGAUACAAACUGUCCUUGGAGUCUUCCAGACCAGGGCUGGCUCUAGUGUGCAGCAGCAGUUGAGUGAAUUCAUUUAGGAAAAUACAUGAGGAUAGAUCUCACUCUCCGAUGCCCUUGUGUGACCAUAAAGCACCAGCUCAGGCCUGUCGCUCAAGGUUUGACUUUACGACUUUCCUGGCUGAGAAUGCAGAAUGGUUGGAAUUUUCCUGUCAAAUCUAAAUUGUUUAUCUUUGCAUUCUCUUCGCCCCAGCAAUUCUACCUCUAGGAAUUUAUCCUUCAGCUGUCCUUGCAUACAUGCCAGAUGACACACAGGAGCUUACUUGUUUGUAACAGCAAUUGGUUGGAUGUGACCUAAAUGCUCAAUAGAGAACUAGUCAGAGAAUUGAAUACUAUGCAACAGUGAAAAAGAAAAGGAAACUGUUCUGGAAUACAUGUUGGUAAAGUAAAAAACGCUGCAAUGCAGGACAGGCCAAAUUUGCCCCAUUGUAUAAAAAGGGAGUAGAAAUUAUAUAUGCCUAUUUGCUCAUAUAUGUAUGAAAUAUUUCUGGAAGGAGAAAGAAACUAAUAACAUGAGUUGCCUCCAAGGAUAAAGAAACUGCAUAUCUGUGAGUCAGAGAAGGAAGGAAGACUUUUCACUCCCAUUCAUACUUUUAUAUUUUGAACCAUAAAAGCAAAUUUGUGUAUUUGUCCCCUUUAGGAAAUAUUCUUCUCUCUGUCCUGCCUUUAUGAAGAAACAGAUCCAUCCAGUGUUCCCAUUCCCUACUCUCACAUGGAUUCCUCUCUCCACUGAAGAAACCCAAGUCUCUCCAUCACCUUGAAGUGACUGUGAGCCACCAGUAAGACAACUGGGAAGAGGCAUGUUCAUCAAGACUGUUACUAAACCCGCCUGCUCAUGGCUCCUCCCAUCUCUAAACAAGCCCACACACCCACUUCUACCUUUGCCACAGGAUUGACACAAAGAGGACCCUAGAGAUAAACCCCUUGGGAGGAGGAAGUUGCUAGUUGUUUUGGCUGGCCUGAAAACCACAAAUAAACUUCAGAUUUGGUUCUUUGCCAAGGGUGAUGGUGUUGAGUUCCUUUCUGAAAUAGUAUCAAAAUGCCACCUCUGGCCAUUCUUAUCAUCUCCCAACAAAGUGGGAAAGGACAGCCAGAGAGAAAACAAAGGCCCAGACAGAAAAAAAGACUUGUAAUUGCAACUGUGUUUCAGGGCAGAAUCAUCUCAGGAACCCAGGGCUGCUGGGUUUCUGGUCAUGUCUCAGACUUGCUUUGGUUGGCUCCUUGGGUUUUUGUGGUGGUGGUGGUUUUGUUGUUGUUGUUGUUGUUUGCUUUAUUUUGGUUUAUUUUUUAUGUUCUGAAUCUCUGAAACAGAACCUGGAAGCGAGGCCUGGGAGUCAGAACAUUGAAGAGCUCUUCUCAGGCCUUGGGUUAGUUAGCAAGCAUCAAGCAAGUCCCAGAUAGGGGCUGAGGAGGUGCUUUGAGGAGGGCGAAUACAGGCCUCUGUUUCCCUUUUCUGUUGCCUGUACCUAGCCCUCAGGUUAUCUGCGCACCAAAGAGGCAGAAAAACAGUGGCUAAGAACAUAAACUCUAGAGUAAACAGGCUGGGAAUAAAUCCCACUUCCCUGUUUAUUACACUUUCUCAAGUAAGUUGCCUGACCUUUAAUGCCCCCAUUUCCUCUCCUUAGAAAGGGUGUGCUCUGUCUCAGUGGGUCAUUCAGUAAUUAGUAAGAAGAAAGAAUUUACCAUGUGUAAUGUGCUCGGAACAAAGCCUGACAUGAAUAUCUACUCAGUAGGAAUGAGCUGUAUGGUUGCCUGUCUCUCUUUUUUUUUUUUUUUAAAGAGAGAGAGAGAGAGAGAGAGAGAGAAUUUUAUUUAUUUUUUAGUUUUCGGUGGACACAGCAUCUUUGUUUGUAUGUGGUGCUGAGAAUCGAACCCGGGCCGCACGCAUGCCAGACGAGCGCGCUACCGCUUGAGCCACAUCCCCAGCCCAUUGCCUGUCUCUCUACAUGAGAAAUUUUGAAAGACAGACACCUGAGAAACUAUAGGAAUUUUAUCAUUGAAACUGCCUGUUCAGAAUAACCCUGGAUUGGCAGAAGCCUUCUUCACCUCUGUAAGGACCAUAUUGUAGCUCUGGAGCAAAACUCCAAUUGCACAUCACUGUGGGAGAAAAACCAGGCAGCAGACAAUGGAUCCAAGUUUCUCAGGAAAAAAUAUAAAUAUAUUGUAUGCCAACUAUUCAUUUCCAGAUUUUUCUGACCCAGGAAUAAGAAAUGAAAAUAAUUUUGUGUAUGAUAGAUUUUAAAAAAGUAAGAAAACGGAGGACUAGGGAUGUGGCUCAGUGGUAGAGCACUUGCCUAGCAUGCACAAGUGCUGGGAGCCAUUAGCCAAGUAGGUAUGACAAUUUCCUUGCCAGCGUACCCCAUGUUGCUGACAUGUUGCAGUGACAUUGAAUGUAGGUGACCUUGCUCAAGGACCAAGACAGAUUAGGGUGUUCCCGGUUUUAAGAUAAUCGUGUUUAGGGCGUUCCCAGUUUAGGUUCCAGGUUUAAGGUUUAAGAUUAUUCCUGAUGGGAAUAGGGCGUAUCCUGCUGCCUGAGUUCCCCUUGAGUUCUCAUGGGAUUCAGACAGUAUAUUUUGGGAGACAGAAGCCCAGUGGAGGAGGAUUUGGGAAGAGAACGAGGAUUUCCCCAGAACGUGAUUGUAGACGGCUGGUGUGAGUUCGGGAAUAAAGAGUUGCUGUUUGAAUCUACAAGCUGUGUGGUGGCUCGUGAUUGUGUGCCCAGCCAGACUGCGGCAUUUGUGCCCAGCCAGACUGCGGCACACAAGGCCCUAGGUUCAAUCCCAGUACCACAAAAGGAAAAAGGUAAGGGGACAAUUCAGGUCCUUGA
rnacentral:lncRNA from 1 species